UCCCCUGCGUUAGCAGGCGGAUUCUUAACCACUGCACCACCAGGGACGUCCAGCAGGCAGAUUCUUAGCCGCUGCGCCACCAGGGAAGCCCCGGCAUUUCUUAGUUUUAUUAUUGCUUCAUACGUCUAGAAUAUUCUUUAUUGAUUAUUUGUGGAUUACCCAUUUUGCAGGUCUCUACAUAAAGAUUCAAAUUUACAAUUAGACUUCUCAGACAAUACAUUUCUGGGGACACAGACAGUUAAAAUUUGAACUCAUUAUCUGCUCCAAGGUCACAUCAUGUAUUCCAAACACCCAUGUAUUAGAACUUUUACUAAAAUGUCAUUUGUAACUCGAAUUUGCGGAAUCAGCUAACUGCCGGAGGGGCAGGACCUGGGUCUGUUGCGUCCACUUGUCAUGCAAAGAGCAGGCUUUUCCCACAAUGGGGCUGGGUUUUCUCUCUAGGUUUUCUGGAAGACAAACUGCUGGGGUGGGGGUGGGGAACGUCACCUUUUUCCACUGGGGAUGAGGUGUUUACACCCAAGCUCAGUAUCCUACAGGGGCCCCCUUCCCCUAAUGGCAUCUCUGCAUCCUGCCGUGGGCUCCAGGCCUCUGGGCACCGGGCCCGUGGAGCUCCUGCUUCCUUUCUCUUUCACUGGCUAGAGAUGAGAAAUCGUUGCAUUUUUCAACGCUGCAAACCCAUAAUUUCUGGGUUUUCCCUUUCCCUGUCUUUCCUGCUUGUAAGCAGGCUAAUUCCUUUCAGAGGGCAUCUCUCAUGUGCUUGUGAAAGGCAGUGUAUGAGUUUGCUAGGGCUGCUGUAACAAAGCACAACAGAACUUCAUUUUCUCACAAUUCUGGAGGCUGGUUCUCACAAUCAAGGUGUCAGUGGGCUCGUUCCUUCUGAAGGCCCGGAAGGAAGGGUCUGUUCCAGGCCUCUCUCCUUGGUGUGUAGAGGGCCAUAUUCUCCCUGUCUUCACGUCGCCUUUCCUCUGUACACAUUUGUAUGCAAAUCUCCUCUUCUUAGAAGGACACCAGUCAUGUUGGAUUAGGGCCCACCCUGAAGACUUCAUUUUAUCUUAAUCACCUCUUUAAGGACCCUGUCUCCAAAUACAGUCACAUUCUGAGGUACUGGGGGUUAGGGCUUCAACAUAUGAAUUGCGGGGACUUGAUUCAGCCCAUGACAUGUAGCGAAAAGACAUUCUAGACAUUUCUGUUUCCCAAGCUCUUCAGCUAAAGCCACAAGCGCAGUAUAGUAUCAGCUUUGCAAGUUACUGUAGACAAGAAUCUUCCCAAAUGUUUCCCACUGUAUAACAUGGGUCACCAUCUCUCCUACCCCCAAUAACUGAUUCCUUGUCACCUGUCACCUGUUACCUACUCUUAGAGCCAGUGCUACAAAUUUUUGAUGCUGCCAAUUUCUGUAUUGGUCAGAUUUUGCUAGGUUAUGCUACAUAACAAGCAUUCCCUAAAUAUAAGUACAUUACCAUAAGCAAGGUUUAUCUUCAUUCAGGUUUAAUGCUGCCCACAGUUUGCUUGCCCCUCCGCUCCACCACUCUGCUUCACAUGCUAUCUUUAUUUUGGGGUCCAGGCUGAAGAUGCAGCCCCUAUCUAGGACGUGUAAACCUGAGAGAAAAGAGCCAGAGAGCUGGCAUAACCACGGGAUAGAUUUUCAGGCUUCUGCCAGGAACUGGCAUGUGGUCACUUCUCACAGUUCAUUGGUCAGAGCAAUUCACAUGGCCAAGCCUGCUGCCCGUGGGUGUGGAAGUAUGCUCUGCCCAUAGGGAGGCACGGUGAGUCGCUGACCCCAGGGCAGGGAGGUGUCACCUUCUUAGGGUCCAGAAUCACUGGGAACAAUGGCACCAUUCACCACAAGAGUUAACACUGGUUAACAUUUACCAGAUGUGGGGCUUUGUGCCGGCAGCCUCACAUCCUCAGCUCAUUGACUCAUCGUCAUAGCCCCAUUUUACAGAUAAGAAAACUGAGGCCUUGAGAGACGAAGAGACUUGUUCACUGUCUAGUAUGACAAACAAGAUCUACGAACAUGCCUUGAAAAAGCCCUAAGGGUCUACACGCAUAUGGGGUCUUACUCCUGUCACUUCUCUUCUCGGCAGCCGGGGUGAGAAAACACUUGGUGAGGAGGGGCUGGCUCAAGAUAUGGCCCAUGGGGCACGCUCAUGAAUGUUGGCCGUGGCAAUGUUCUCAGGGUGUCAGAAGAGCCCAUUCCUUGGGGAGCCCACACCCCACCUUUUAGCUCAGCUCCACCUGGCUCACCCUGCCCUGCAAAUCUAGGAAUUCUGCCAGAGCCACUGAGGAGGGCAGGGGGCUUACAAUAAACACAACUCUUGGGGGAAAGGGAGAGGAAGAGUCUUGCUCCAUCCCAGGAGCCCGUGUGCUAUGUGAGUCUGUGCGGAUCGCCUGCUUGGACACACCUCUUCCUGCUCUCAAUGUCUCUGGGAAGGUUGAGCAUUUUCUGGUUCAUUCGUUUUGUUUGUUCGCUUGUUUGUUUGUCUGUUGGGAGCAAAUGAGGAGCUUAAACAAUCUUAGGACCUUAUUGUUCUUAUCCUUGUUCUCCAGAUGGGGAAACUGAGGCCCGAGAGGUAGAAGCAACUUCCCACAGCCAGUGGUGAUGCUGACCUAAACCCCACCGAACAUGAGGCCCACGUGGACCCGUGUUCAAAGAGACUGUGGGGUGGGGCCGGAUGGGGAAGUAGUUAGGGAAGGGGGGGCCUCUUCGGCUUCCCAGGGUUGUCCUCGGGUCUUCCCAGGCCACCAGGUCAACAGGCUUGUCCUUCAGUAACAAGGAAGAUGUAGGUGUGACAGUGAUUCCCGGGGAGAGGGACAGAGUCCAGGGGCCCGAGAUAAUGGAGGGAGUGCCUGGCAGGGGGCAGAGGGCACAAAAGAUGGUGUGAGGACACCCUGACAUACAUAGGACACACAUGCACACAUGCAUACCACGCACCACGUUCACAUACGCUGCACACACCAUACAUACUGCAUUCACACCUCUUCACACACAUACCACAUGUAACACACCCCACACACACUCCAUACUUAACACAUGCCACACACACAUCAAACAUAACACCCUCACACGCACACCGUACAUCACAUACCACAUACCACCCACAGCACACACACCACUGCAGACUUUUUCUUGGUUUUGACACCCAACUCAGAGGUGGUCUUUUUGUACUGCAGAUUUUUGAAAACAUCACGAUUAGGAAUAAUAACAAAAAUAGUAAUGACAAUAGCGGGCGUUCAUUGAGAACUUGUUGCGGGUCAGGAGACUCGUGAAGGCUUCGCAUGGACCCCUUCACGGAGGUCCCACCACCCCUGUGAAGCAGGUGCUGUCGGUGCCCCCAUGGGGAAGUUGGGUACCACGACUGGGAAAUUGAGGCUCGAGGAUUUGGAGCUUGGAAUGGAUGGAGCUGUCACUGAACAUGGGUCAGCCUGUCUCCAGAAGCCACACUGAAUGUUUCCUUCGAUGCACAAACAACAAAAUCAAGAACAAAGGCCCCACCUCGCUGCACACAGAGCCUCUCCUGGCUGACUUAGGCUCUCUCCGUGGAUGCAAGUACAGCGGCCCCUCCGAUGCCAACAACGCUGCCUGCUGCGGAAGGCCAGCCCGUUCUCUGCAGCCCUGAGAGGGCAAGAGUGGACACAACCUCUGUGCCCAUCCACCGGGGACUGGAUCACCGCUCGCAGGGGCAUGCGCACAAGGGGACACUAUUCAGUCACGUGGAAGAGCGAGGUCGCCACACGUAUAGACCUGGAAAGGAGACUGUAAUGUCAGGGGGACUACUGGGCACCUUUCAGCAUCACUCCCCUAAGUUGGGACCAAGAGGCAUUCUGAGACGAACCGCAGGGUCUUGGCCUAGAGACGUCUGGAAUCUUCAGGGUGAGACAGGUGGGCACAUACUCAUAAAGCUAAAAGUCAUCAUCACAAUGGCGGUGGGAGGGCACCUCCCAGUGCUCUGUGUUCUGCCCAGGGCUUCACAUGCGUUAACUCUUCGAAAUACGACCGUAAUUCUGUGAGUUUUCUCAUUUCGCCAGUGAGGAAACUGAGUCUCAGAAGGGAGCCCUAGGGAGCAGGCCCAGGGGGUUCUGUGCCCCAGCCUCUUCAAGGACAGAAUCAUCCAGCCACCAAGUCAUUCCCCAAGAGACACCAGGCAAGAACAGGGAGUGCAGUGGACACAGGAAGGAUGCUGGUGACAGAGCCACCUCCGCAAUGCAGUGCGCGCAUUGACAUGGUCCUCAUGGGAGGCACCAUGGGCUCCAGCUGAAGGUCAGAGAGAAGGCCAUGGCCAAGGUCACUGUGCUGGAAAGCAUCACAGCUGGCUUUGGAGCCCUGGUUGGUCCAUCUGAUGGCAAAGACCUCCUUGCCCAGACCCCAGCUCAGUGUCCAGCGCCGAUCAGAGCCCCGUGCUUGGUGCUGCAUAGCGCUUGGCAUCCAGCAUAUGCUUAACACCCAGUUAGCCUCCCUCCUUGCCCCUGAUCCUGCCAGGGUGUGACCUUGGCCGUGUCAUUCUCCGUUUCCAGGCCUCAGUUCCCUAUCUGUGCAGGGAGGGGGUUGCCCCGGGGGUGUCGUAGCUCCCCUCGCAGCCUCAACAUCCUAGACUUCCACUGCAGAAGCCAGGAAGAGUUGGUGGGGUCCCCCAGGGCUGGGGCAAAUUUGGGGGCCAGGGCUCCUUUUUGGAGGGACCCAGCAGAGCCCCGCUGACAGCCCCCAGCACCCCCCAAAACAGCAGCCCCGGCCAAGCCUGGCUCCCCACCUCCAUCCCUUGUCCCAUUCCACCAGGCUUGGUCCUCCCCCCCACGCAUCACACCGACACCCUUGCCUCUGACCGGGGCUGCCCCCCACACUGGCCGGUGCCCGAAGCGCCUUGAAAAAUCUCUCUCUGGCAUCCCUUCCCCAACACACAGCCCCAGCUGGCAGCGAGGUGAGCAGAGAGCAGAGAGGGAGGGUAGGCAGAGAGGGAGGGAAAUGCAAAUGUUUUUUAUCCUCCUUUUCUUUUAAAUGCUGAAACCCGCCUUGACAGCCUCUGAAAAUAAAUGGCACCGACUUGCUGGGAUUUCAAAUUCCGUGAUUAAGGGCUGAAGCAAAUAC